UUUAUCCUACGGGGGGCAGCAGUGGGGGAUAUUGCACAAUGGGGGAAACCCUGAUGCAGCGACGCCGCGUGGGUGAAGAAGCGCCUCGGCGCGUAAAGCCCUGUCAGCAGGGAAGAAAAUGACGGUACCUGAAGAAGAAGCCCCGGCUAACUACGUGCCAGCAGCCGCGGUAAUACGUAGGGGGCAAGCGUUAUCCGGAUUUACUGGGUGUAAAGGGGGCGCAGACGGCGAUGCAAGCCAGGAGUGAAAGCCCGGGGCCCAACCCCGGGACUGCUCUUGGCACUGCUGGGCUAGUGUGCAGGAGG
rnacentral:rRNA from 1 species